AAAAAAAAAAAGGAGAGAGGGAGGGCUGAGCGAUUUCCGGUGGGGAGCCCGGCCACCGUCCGGUCGUCGGACCAUCGCCGGCGCCGGCGCACGGUGGCUGGAAAGGUAAAAAUUUUAAAUUUUUUUUUAUAUUUUUAUUUAAUAUAUAUAUGUAUGGUUUAUGUAUCGAAUAAAGAUUAUAUAUACACACAGAUUCGAAAAAAUGAAAAGAAAAAUAAGUAGACCUUGAUUCCUUUUUGAUAUAUCUUGCUGCGACUUUGGUAUAUAUCGAAGCCUUUUGGUGUUAUUGCUUUUGUAUAUUGGUUGUUGAAAUCUGCUUAAGAUGUUUUGUAUUUUUUUGCUUUUGAACUGCCCCCCUUACAAAUCUUUUUCAAUCGGCUUUUAUAGCCAUUGUAUUACUAUUUUUUAUUAGUUUCUGUCUUGUCCCUUUUUGUCUUGCAGGAGUAGUUGAACGGUGGAGGUGAUGGGGGCGCAGAGGGCAGGUGGCCGGUGCUGCAGGCUUUGGUGGUAGUGGCAGCACAAGUGGGAGCCGAAUGGGGCUAGGGUAUUUGGUGGGUUUGGUUGGCUUAGGUUAGUGGGUAUGGGUUAGAUUGUAAUGGGUUUAGGGGUAUUUGGGUUUUAUUUGUAAAUAGGUUUAGGGGUAUUUGGGUUUAGAGGUUGUUUAAGUGGGUAAAUUUGGCUUAAGUGGGUUUGAUGAGUUUGUAAGGGAUUGAGGGUGUAAAAUGGGCCAUUCGGGUUUGGGCAAUUUAAAGGGGUCAUUUGUAAAUGUAACUGGGCCUGAGUUAUUUAAAAAAAUGGCCCAAAAUUGGCCUAUAACAAUACAUAUUGAAAUUUAACAAAAAUCAAUUAAUAAUAUUAUCAAUCUUGGACUCUUAUUUCCUAUUAAAUUUUAUAUUUCACAAAUAUUAAUAUAUUUAUUGUUUUUUUAUCACAAUAUGUCAAUAAUAAGAAUAGAGGAAAUUUUAAAUUAAUUUUUUUAAUAAUUUCAUCAUAGAUUCUAAUCAUAUUUAUU
rnacentral:lncRNA from 1 species